CGGGAGCUGGGACCAGUGAGGUUCCUCCUCGGGAUGAGGCCACCUGAGCAGGGCAGCCUCCGCCGAGGCUGCUGUCCUCCCUCCCCGCCACCCUUUGAGCCUCCAGGGCUGAGGGGAGAAAACAACCCAAAGCCUCAGGAUUCUUGCCCAUAAAUCCAGCCCACAAUACCAUAGAUUUUUACAGAGCUGCCAACUCUGACAAUUUUAUGAUGGAUCUCAUGUGAUUUGCAAAGUGUUGUUGUUUUUUUUUUUUUUUUCCCUCCUCUCUCUUAAAGUUCCUGGAGUCCUGUGAUUAUAUGAGACUCUCAAAGGAUGCUGAGGGUUUUUAGUUUUUUUUUUUCUUUCUUUUCUGGUUUUUAUUUUCUUUUUCUUCUUCUUCUUUGUUGAGUUUUAGGCUAUAAAAUAAGGCUGGAAAUUUUAUUGGAGAGGAAAGCAAGGCAGAGAAAAGAAAUGGCUUGUCUGGAGGUGGGAUUAGAGCUCAUCACCAGACAAAAAUAUUUUGCUUUCUUUUUUUUCAUUUUUUUUUUGAGUUCUCUCUGGAAAAGUGGAAUCCUUUGCUACAUAUUUUUGGAGUAAUAAAGUUUUCUAAGUUUUAAGUGAAUGGAAAACGUUCAGAAAGUGGACUGAAUACAUUCCUGCCCCUUUGAAAAAAUGGAGAAAUAUUCUGCUUAUGUUUAGAGCAUUUUACCCUUUUGAAAUUUCAAAGGAAAUUUUUCCGCCCCAAGUCACUUCAGGUUGAAACCCUGACGUGUUUCACUUGGAAGCCCUCGCACCCGGCAGCUCUCAGGCCUUCCACUUCCUUUGUUUGGCUGAAACAAAUCCUUCGGCCCCGGCGGCUGCUUCAGCCUCUGCUUUGCGGUCACUUCUGCAGGCUUUGCCCUGCACCUGGGAGGACUCAGCUAUGAUAAUGGAUAGUGAGAAGUCCACAGACUGCAUGUGUUACAUCUCCCUGAGCAAAUAAAUAAAUGUAUUUAGGUGUGAUGGGUCCUGUCUUUGGGCAGAAGGUCUGGUGGUGGGACAACUGCUUGGCAAGGGUGUUCUGGCCAUGUGUCCUCUUGGCAUUUUCCCCCUCCUGGGAACACCUGGGUGAUGCCUGUGCCUUCCCAUCAGCAUGGGGAGAGGCUGGUGGGACAUGCAGCUGCCCUGAAUUAGGCAGUAGCAGCUGGAGACAGUGCCUAAGGCUUGCACCAGCAUCAUCCAUGGUGAGAGCUAUCACCUGUGUGAGUUCUCCCACCACGGGGAGUAAAGGCAGAGGUUUGGUAACCACAGCUCUUGGUGGUGGUGUGAGCUCAGAAGAGAGCUUGGCUGCUCAUGUCAGCACUGUGCUGGAGCACAUUUUAAGCCUAAUCUAUGAAAAAUUCCCUCAAUGA
rnacentral:lncRNA from 1 species